UNAUCAUAUGCUUGUCUUAAAGAUAAUCCAUGCAUGUGUAAGUAUAAGUAUUGUACAGCGAAACUGCGAAUGGCUCAUUACAUCAGUUAUAAUUUAUUUGAUAAUCGAAAGUUACAUGGGAUAACCGUGACAAUUACAGCUAAUACAUGCNGUCNGACCUGGUCCAAGGGUCGUAAUUNUUAGUAUUAAACCAUUUCCGAAAGGAGUGUGAUGAAUCAUAAUAAUCGAACCAAUCGCCUGGUGUGCGAUAAAUCAUUCAAMUUUCUGCCCUAUCAGCUUUGGAUGGUANUGUAUUGGACUACCAUGGCAGUCACGGGUNACGGAAAAUUAGGGUUCNAUUCCGGAAAGGGAGCCUGARAAACGGCUACCACAUCUACGGAAAGGCAGCAGGAGCGAAAAUUGCCCAAUCCCGACACGGGGARGCAGUGACAAAAAAUAACAACUCUUGGUUAUUCUAAAAAUUGUAAUGAGGAUAAUUUAAAACCCUUACCGAANCAAUUGGAGGGCAANUCUGGUGCCANCAGCCGCGGUAMNUCCAGCUCCAUUASCGUAUAUUAAAGUUKUUGCAGUUAAAAAGCUCGUAUUUNAAAUUCUGGCUNUUCNAUCCUCRANCUCUGUAGCCGAGGACUCNACNGUCAUCCGCUUGCAAAUAUANNUUCGCUUUUAACCGANUGGCUAUAUAAGUAAGCAAUUUACCUUGGAAAAAAACAAAUGUUCCAGGCAGGUUUGUCCGGAAUGCAUNACCAUGGAAUAAUAUAAUAUGACUGAANUCAAUUUAUUGGUUUGAGGCUUUAGUAAUGAUUAUUANGAACANUCGGGGGCAUUGGUACUUGACANUCAGGAGUGAAAUUCUAGGAUUUGUCAAAAACUAACNAAUGCGAAAGCAUUUGCCAAGGAUNUUUUCAUUAUUCAAAAACNAAAUUUAGGGGAUCNAAAACAAUCAGAUACCGUCCUAGUCUUAACUAUAAACUAUACCGACUCGGAUUCAGAUGAAUCAUAAACUUCAUUUGGGACCGUUGGAGAAAUCAAAGUUUUUGGGUUCUGGGGGAAKUAUGKUCSCAAGGCUGAAAMUUAAAGGAAUUGACGGUUUUGCACCACCAUGGARUGGRWUNYGCGGCUUAAUUUGACUCCACACUGGGAANCUNAUCAGGGCAAGAAGAUUGUAGGAUUGACAGAUUGAGAUUUCUUUCUUGAUUGGUCUAGUGGUGGUGCAUGGCCGUUUCUUAGUUGGUGGAGUGAUUUGUCUGGUNAAUUCCGUNAACGAACGAGACCUUAACNUGCNAAUUAGUACACAGAUGACAAAUCUGUGAUACUUCUNAGAGGGACUAUGUGAUGUAAUCACAUGGAAGUUUGAGGCAAUAACAGGUCUGUGAUGCCCUNNNGAUGUCCUGAGCUGCACGNGUACUACAAUGGUGCUUUCAACGAGCUUUUCCUGAUCCGAAAGGAUUUGGGUAAUCUUUUUAGUGAGCACCGUGCUUGGGAUAGAUCUUUGUAAUUAUGGAUCUUGAACUAGGAAUUCCUAGUAAGCACGUGUCAUCAGCANGUGCCGAUUACGUCCCUGCAAAAUGUACACACCGCCCGUCGNUAUUACCGAUUGAGUGUAAAGGUGAACCUUCUCGAUAGACGCAAGUUUAGAAAUUAAGUAAACCUUUGCACUUAGNGGAANUAAAANUUGNAACAANNUUNCC
rnacentral:rRNA from 1 species